rnacentral:rRNA from 1 species
UGGGGAAUAUUGGACAAUGGGCGGAAGCCUGAUCCAGCCAUGCCGCGUGAGUGAUGAAGGCCUUCGGGUUGUAAAGCUCUUUCGCACGCGACGAUGAUGACGGUAGCGUGAGAAGAAGCCCCGGCUAACUUCGUGCCAGCAGCCGCGGUAAUACGAAGGGGGCUAGCGUUGUUCGGAAUUACUGGGCGUAAAGGGCGCGUAGGCGGCUAUCCAAGUCAGGCGUGAAAGCCCCGGGCUUAACCUGGGAACUGCGCUUGAGACUGGGUGGCUAGAGUACCGGAGAGGUGGGUGGAAUUCCCAGUGUAGAGGUGAAAUUCGUAGAUAUUGGGAAGAACACCGGUGGCGAAGGCGGCCCACUGGACGGUAACUGACGCUGAGGCGCGAAAGCGUGGGGAGCAAA